rnacentral:rRNA from 1 species
GAUGAACGCUGGCGGCGUACCUAACACAUGCAAGUCGAACGAGAACCCAUUCUUCGGAUUGGGGGACAGUGGCGAACGGGUGAGUAUCACGUUGGUGACCUGCCCUGAAGUGGGGGACAACCACGGGAAACCGUGGCUAAUACCGCAUAUGCUCCAGGAGCUUAGAGACUCCUGGAGUAAAGCUCUGGCGCUUCGGGAGGGCCUGCGGGCUAUCAGCUUGUUGGUGGGGUAACGGCCUACCAAGGCUAAGACGGCUAGGGGGCGUGAGAGCGCGACCCCCCACAAUGGAACUGAGACACGGUCCAUACUCCUACGGGAGGCAGCAGUGAGGAAUAUUGCACAAUGGGGGAAACCCUGAUGCAGCAACGCCGCGUGGGUGAUGAAGGCCUUCGGGUCGUAAAACCCUUUUCUGGGGGACGAGAAAGGACGGUACCUCAGGAAUAAGUCCCGGCUAACUACGUG